GGGCAGUGGCAGUCUGACUCCCUCACAGCGCCCUCUGCCACCACAGCCUCUCACAGGUAUCAGAGGACACCCGGCUCUGGUAUAAAGGGGAGGGACAUGGACACAAUGACACUCCAUUAAACACCUGGCACUACCGUCACCUCCCCUUCCUCCCCGAAAGACACAGGCUAAGCCUCCAGGGGAUAAAAAAGGGUCACAGAAGCGUGGCCUGCUGGAGAGAAGGGAGAAAAGGAGAACUAGGUCACGCUUGCUGCGCCUGGUUGCCUGGAAUUGUUCUCCUAGUUGUGCUCAGGGAAAAGGACAACUUGGCUUCAGUCUACUGGAAUGCACAUCAGCUGGGAGUGUCUGCUUGACCCUAAAAGGUUAUGUCAGAAACUUUCAAGUUGUGGAACGUUGCUUGCUCUGUAGAAACACCAGAAGAUCUCACACCUGAAAGGACAACAUUCCAGACAAAAAUGUUCCAUAUCCUGGCCUUUAGAAACGGGAACACUGAUUUGCUGCAGAUGUUAAUGUGACUGUAGGAACACAGAUGGUUCUCAUGCUGCUGGACACUUCUGAUUUUAUUUGGUCAAAGUUAUAACCUGUGUGUUUCCUUAUGAUAUUCUCUUGGGAAAGCUCUGGUGAUGGGUUCCUUUAGUGCUCCAGCUGGAGUGAUCCUUCAAUUGCACUCAUUUGUGGCCACCUAGACUGUCAAAAAAAA
rnacentral:lncRNA from 1 species